AUGGUGAUCGGGCAAAAAAAUGCGGAGGGUUCGAUCCAACGGUCAUGCCUACCCCGUCUGCUCUGCGCGCGGGAGCAGUACUCCGCAUUGCUCCUUUUCGUGGCCGUGGCCGCCGUCUGCCUCCUCGUCGUGGUUGGCAGUGGCACAUACGCGCUAUCGUCUCCGGCCGACGUCGGCGGCGAGAUGGAGCAGAGGUUCUUCAACAUAUUUCCUCGCCAAGCAGCGGCCGGCGCCUCGGACGAUGAACUGGAGGCGGCGCUGCGCGGCGCGGCCGACGCGAACAGGACGCUGAUCGUGAGCGUGCUGAACAAGGCGUACGCCGAGGAGGGCGGCCUGCUGGACCUUUUCAUCGAGAGCCUGAAGCAAGGGGAGGGCACCGGGCAUCUCAUCGGCCACGUCCUCCUUGUAGCCAUGGACGAACCAGCCUUCCGCAGGUGCAGUGGCCUCGGCGGCGUCCGGUGCUACCUCCUUCCCCCGGCGGCCGCGACCAACAGCACCAACCUCUCCUCGGAGCAGCUCUACAUGUCUGGCGGCUUCAUACGCAUGAUGUGGCGGCGCAUUCGCCUCCUCGGCGACAUCCUCAAGCACGGCUACAGCUUCAUAUUCACCGAUAUGGAUGUGAUGUGGCUGAGGAACCCGUUCCCGAGCCUGAAUCGCACCGAGGAGGAAGACCUCCUGAUCAGCACCGACGGAUUCAAGGGGCGGCCGGAGGACUACCUCGGCCACGAGCUCAACACGAGGUUCUUCUUCGUGGCCGCGAGCAACCGGACGGCGGCGAUGUUCGACGAGUGGCACGCGGCACGGGAGGCGUCGGAAGGCAUGAAGGAGCAGGACGUGCUAAACCAGAUGAAGCAACAAGGCGCGUUCCGCCGGCUCGGCGUGAGGGUGCGCGUCCUGGACACGGCGCGCUUCAGCGGCUUCUGCCAGGACAGCCAGGACGCCCGGCAGGUGGUCACCGUGCACGCCAACUGCUGCCGGACCAUGCGGGCCAAGGUCGCCGACCUCAAGGCCGUUCUUGGCGCCGCCAAGCAGCUCAACGGGACGACGGGGCGGCUGAAAUGGCCGCGUCAUUCAGCCUGCUUGGGAUCGUGGAGGAAGUGA
rnacentral:rRNA from 1 species